UCCGGUUUGUCACCGGCAGUCCCAUUAGAGUGCCCAACUAAAUGCUGGCAACUAGAAGCGAGGGUUGCGCUCGUUGCGGGACUUAACCCAACAUCUCACGACACGAGCUGACGACAGCCGUGCAGCAUCUGUGGUGCACCCUCGAAGGUCACACGUUUCCGUGCGCUUGCAGCACCAUGUCAAGUCCAGGUAAGGUUCUUCGCGUUGCAUCGAAUUAAAGAACAUGCUCCGCUGCUUGUGCGGGCCCCCGUCAAUUCUUUUGAGUUUUAGCCUUGCGGCCGUACUCCCCAGGCGGGGCACUUAAUGCGUUAGCUACGGCACAGAAACCCACACAAGGGUCCCCACACCUAGCGCCCAACGUUUACAGCAUGGACUAC
rnacentral:misc_RNA from 1 species